CAUGCAAGUCGUACGGUGAAGCCGAGCUUACUCCUUGGAUCAGUGGCGAACGGGUGAGUAACACGUGAGCAAUCUGCCCUUGACUCUGGGAUAACUGCGGGAAACUGUAGCUAAUACCGGAUAUUACCUUGGAAGGCAUCUUCUGGGGUGGAAAGAAUUUUGGUCAAGGAUGAGCUCGCGGCCUAUCAGCUAGUUGGUGAGGUAAUGGCUCACCAAGGCGACGACGGGUAGCCGGCCUGAGAGGGUGACCGGCCACACUGGGACUGAGACACGGCCCAGACUCCUACGGGAGGCAGCAGUGGGGAAUAUUGCACAAUGGGCGCAAGCCUGAUGCAGCAACGCCGCGUGAGGGACGACGGCCUUCGGGUUGUAAACCUCUUUUAGUAGGGAAGAAGCGACUGGGUUUUCCUGGGAGUGACGGUACCUGCAGAAAAAGCACCGGCUAACUACGUGCCAGCAGCCGCGGUAAUACGUAGGGUGCAAGCGUUGUCCGGAAUUAUUGGGCGUAAAGAGCUCGUAGGCGGUUUGUCGCGUCUGCUGUGAAAACCCGAGGCUCAACCUCGGGCCUGCAGUGGGUACGGGCAGACUAGAGUGCGGUAGGGGAGAUUGGAAUUCCUGGUGUAGCGGUGGAAUGCGCAGAUAUCAGGAGGAACACCAAUGGCGAAGGCAGAUCUCUGGGCCGUAACUGACGCUGAGGAGCGAAAGCAUGGGGAGCGAACACGAUUAGAUACCCUGGUAGUCCAUGCCGUAAACGUUGGGAACUAGAUGUGGGGACCAUUCCACGGUCUCCGUGUCGCAGCUAACGCAUUAAGUUCCCCGCCUGGGGAGUACGGCCGCAAGGCUAAAACUCAAAGGAAUUGACGGGGGCCCGCACAAGCGGCGGAGCAUGCGGAUUAAUUCGAUGCAACGCGAAGAACCUUACCAAGGCUUGACAUAUACCGGAAACGCUUGGAAACAGGUGCCCCGCAAGGUCGGUAUACAGGUGGUGCAUGGUUGUCGUCAGCUCGUGUCGUGAGAUGUUGGGUUAAGUCCCGCAACGAGCGCAACCCUCGUCCUAUGUUGCCAGCACGUAAUGGUGGGAACUCAUGGGAUACUGCCGGGGUCAACUCGGAGGAAGGUGGGGAUGACGUCAAAUCAUCAUGCCCCUUGUGUCUUGGGCUUCACGCAUGCUACAAUGGCCGGUACAAAGGGCUGCGAUACCGCAAGGUGGAGCGAAUCCCAAAAAGCCGGUCUCAGUUCGGAUUGAGGUCUGCAACUCGACCUCAUGAAGUCGGAGUCGCUAGUAAUCGCAGAUCAGCAACGCUGCGGUGAAUACGUUCCCGGGCCUUGUACGCACCGCCCGUCAAGUCAUGAAAGUCGGUAACACCCGAAGCCAGUGGCCGAACCCGUAAGGGACGGAGCUGUCGAAGGUGGGAUCGGUGAUUAGGACUAAGUCGUAACA
rnacentral:rRNA from 2 species